rnacentral:rRNA from 1 species
AUGGAACCACCUCGGACCCAGCGAGGCAGCUUGAGCUUGGCAGCUGGGCUUGUCCUGCUGGUGCUCGGUGGCGAACGGGCGAAGCAGCGGCUGGCAAGGGAAGGUCGAGGGCGGACGGGACGGGCGCAGGGGUCGCGGACGAGCAGGACGGAGAGGAAGCAGUGGCGCGGUCCAUACAGAGGGUCAACCCGGGCCGCGCCUGGCUCGUCCUCAAAGCAGAGGCGAGGCGCUCGCCGAGAAGAGACAGGACGGCGACAACGAACUUGGCAGGGAGGAGGCAGGGAACACAGGGCCUCAUGA